rnacentral:rRNA from 1 species
UCGGAUUGGAGUCUGCAACCCGACUCCAUGAAGCUGGAUUCGCUAGUAAUCGCGCAUCAGCCACGGCGCGGUGAAUACGUUCCCGGGCCUUGUACACACCGCCCGUCAAGCCAUGGAAGCCGGGAGUGCCUGAAGUACGCGACCGCAAGGAGCGUCCUAAGGUAAAACCGGUGACUGGGGCUAAGUCGUAACAAGGUAAC